GUCAGUGUGGUGUAGUGGUUUGAAAGCUGGACUAUGACUCUAGAGACUAGUGUUCGAAUCCCCACUCAGCCA